UUAAGCGACUAAGCGUACACGGUGGAUGCCCUGGCAGUCAGAGGCGAUGAAGGACGUGCUAAUCUGCGAAAAGCGUCGGUAAGGUGAUAUGAACCGUUAUAACCGGCGAUGUCCGAAUGGGGAAACCCAGUGCAAUUCGUUGCACUAUCGUUAACUGAAUACAUAGGUUAACGAGGCGAACCGGGGGAACUGAAACAUCUAAGUACCCCGAGGAAAAGAAAUCAACCGAGAUUCCCCAGUAGCGGCGAGCGAACGGGGAGCAGCCCAGAGUCUGAAUCAGCUUGUGUGUUAGUGGAACGGUCUGGAAAGUCCGACGGUACAGGGUGAUAGUCCCGUACACCAAAAUGCACAGGCUGUGAACUCGAAGAGUAGGGCGGGACACGUGGUAUCCUGUCUGAAUAUGGGGGACCAUCCUCCAAGGCUAAAUACUCCUGACUGACCGAUAGUGAACCAGUACCGUGAGGGAAAGGCGAAAAGAACCCCGGCGAGGGGAGUGAAAAAGAACCUGAAACCGUGUACGUACAAGCAGUGGGAGCACCUUCGGGUGUGACUGCGUACCUUUUGUAUAAUGGGUCAGCGACUUAUAUUCUGUAGCAAGGUUAACCGUAUAGGGGAGCCGCAGGGAAACCGAGUCUUAACUGGGCGUUAAGUUGCAGGGUAUAGACCCGAAACCCGGUGAUCUAGCCAUGGGCAGGUUGAAGGUUGGGUAACACUAACUGGAGGACCGAACCGACUAAUGUUGAAAAAUUAGCGGAUGACUUGUGGCUGGGGGUGAAAGGCCAAUCAAACCGGGAGAUAGCUGGUUCUCCCCGAAAGCUAUUUAGGUAGCGCCUCGUGAAUUCAUCUUCGGGGGUAGAGCACUGUUUCGGCUAGGGGGUCAUCCCGACUUACCAACCCGAUGCAAACUACGAAUACCGAAGAAUGUUAUCACGGGAGACACACGGCGGGUGCUAACGUCCGUCGUGAAGAGGGAAACAACCCAGACCGCCAGCUAAGGUCCCAAAGUCAUGGUUAAGUGGGAAACGAUGUGGGAAGGCACAGACAGCCAGGAUGUUGGCUUAGAAGCAGCCAUCAUUUAAAGAAAGCGUAAUAGCUCACUGGUCGAGUCGGCCUGCGCGGAAGAUGUAACGGGGCUAAACCAUGCACCGAAGCUGCGGCAGCGACACUAUGUGUUGUUGGGUAGGGGAGCGUUCUGUAAGCCUGCGAAGGUGUGCUGUGAGGCAUGCUGGAGGUAUCAGAAGUGCGAAUGCUGACAUAAGUAACGAUAAAGCGGGUGAAAAGCCCGCUCGCCGGAAGACCAAGGGUUCCUGUCCAACGUUAAUCGGGGCAGGGUGAGUCGACCCCUAAGGCGAGGCCGAAAGGCGUAGUCGAUGGGAAACAGGUUAAUAUUCCUGUACUUGGUGUUACUGCGAAGGGGGGACGGAGAAGGCUAUGUUAGCCGGGCGACGGUUGUCCCGGUUUAAGCAUGUAGGCUGGUUGUCCAGGCAAAUCCGGAUAAUCAAGGCUGAGGUGUGAUGACGAGGCACUACGGUGCUGAAGUAACAAAUGCCCUGCUUCCAGGAAAAGCCUCUAAGCAUCAGGUAACAUCAAAUCGUACCCCAAACCGACACAGGUGGUCAGGUAGAGAAUACCAAGGCGCUUGAGAGAACUCGGGUGAAGGAACUAGGCAAAAUGGUGCCGUAACUUCGGGAGAAGGCACGCUGGUGUGUAGGUGAAGCCCCUGCGGGUGGAGCUGAGACCAGUCGAAGAUACCAGCUGGCUGCAACUGUUUAUUAAAAACACAGCACUGUGCAAACACGAAAGUGGACGUAUACGGUGUGACGCCUGCCCGGUGCCGGAAGGUUAAUUGAUGGGGUUAUCCGUAAGGAGAAGCUCUUGAUCGAAGCCCCGGUAAACGGCGGCCGUAACUAUAACGGUCCUAAGGUAGCGAAAUUCCUUGUCGGGUAAGUUCCGACCUGCACGAAUGGCGUAAUGAUGGCCAGGCUGUCUCCACCCGAGACUCAGUGAAAUUGAACUCGCUGUGAAGAUGCAGUGUACCCGCGGCAAGACGGAAAGACCCCGUGAACCUUUACUAUAGCUUGACACUGAACAUUGAGCCUUGAUGUGUAGGAUAGGUGGGAGGCUUUGAAGCGUGGACGCCAGUCUGCGUGGAGCCAACCUUGAAAUACCACCCUUUAAUGUUUGAUGUUCUAACGUUGGCCCCUGACCGGGGUUGCGGACAGUGUCUGGUGGGUAGUUUGACUGGGGCGGUCUCCUCCCAAAGCGUAACGGAGGAGCACGAAGGUUAGCUAAUCCUGGUCGGACAUCAGGAGGUUAGUGCAAUGGCAUAAGCUAGCUUGACUGCGAGCGUGACGGCGCGAGCAGGUGCGAAAGCAGGUCAUAGUGAUCCGGUGGUUCUGAAUGGAAGGGCCAUCGCUCAACGGAUAAAAGGUACUCCGGGGAUAACAGGCUGAUACCGCCCAAGAGUUCAUAUCGACGGCGGUGUUUGGCACCUCGAUGUCGGCUCAUCACAUCCUGGGGCUGAAGUAGGUCCCAAGGGUAUGGCUGUUCGCCAUUUAAAGUGGUACGCGAGCUGGGUUUAGAACGUCGUGAGACAGUUCGGUCCCUAUCUGCCGUGGGCGCUGGAGAAUUGAGGGGGGCUGCUCCUAGUACGAGAGGACCGGAGUGGACGCAUCACUGGUGUUCGGGUUGUCAUGCCAAUGGCACUGCCCGGUAGCUAAAUGCGGAAGAGAUAAGUGCUGAAAGCAUCUAAGCACGAAACUUGCCCCGAGAUGAGUUCUCCCUGAGACUUUAAGUCUCCUGAAGGAACGUUGAAGACGACGACGUUGAUAGGCCGGGUGUGUAAGCGCAGCGAUGCGUUGAGCUAACCGGUACUAAUGAACCGUGAGGCUUAACCUU
rnacentral:rRNA from 1 species